CUCCGUUCCAAAGCCCACGUGAGGACUCCUCCCACCCCCACGCUAGCCAUGGGCUUCCACACUCCUUUCCUCAGAUGAGGCAACACCGCACCCCGAGGAUGGGUGACAUGACUUGAAGCUAACAAAUUCUAAGGUGCAGAUGACUUCAAUUGUCACUCGGUUUGAAACACAGGUGACUGAGUUGUGUUGCUGUGAAGAGGAGAGCCAGUGUCAGCAUGAAGGUGUUCUGGGAGCCCCUGCAGUGCUUCUGGACAAAGUCGUUUGGGUAGGAGAGCAGCUGGACUCAGGAGUCGAGCACGGAGGCACUGGGAUGAAGCAAACCCCCAGUCUGAAUGCUGGUCUUCCAGCGGCUUGAAGAACCUACUCUGAUGUGUAUUCCUCACCCUCAUCCUCAGAUGUCUGUGACUACCAAGAACAAGAACAAGAACAAGAACAACAACAAGAACAACAAGAACAAGAACAAGAACAACAACAACAACAACAACAACAACAACAACAACAACUGUUGACCUCCUCUGAACUGUGACCUGUCAGAAUGCUGCCGGGAGGCUGGGGAUGGGAGAGUCAGAGGCAGGCUAAGAGGGACGUGCCUGAGGACUGGGUCUGACAGGGAUGGGAAGGGCAGUGGGAACGGAGUGUUCAGCCUUUGUUGUUGUUUGUUUCUGAUUGCUUUCCACCUGUAACCUCGCAUUUCCUUCAAGACUUCUUGUGCAGUGCCUUUCUCCAACUCCAUCCUUCCCUUCCCUACCAAACCCAAACUGGGUUUCAAGAGCAAGUCCUCUGCUGUCUCUCCGAUGGGACCCACUUCUUUUUAUCUUUGUACUUUCAGUCUGGCUCAUCUUAAUUUGUCCCCAAGCAAAGGUACCAAGUGACUAUUUCAGGGGGCUGCAGCCCCUGAAAACCUGAGCCAGAUGAACCUUUGCUGCUUAACCGUUAGCCUCAGGUAUUUUAUCACAGCGACAGGAAGCCGACUGAAGGCCAGGCCCUUACAGCUCUGUCACCUGCACUCCUGAAGGGACCCAUGUGCCUUGGUCCUGGAAGGCAGUGAGUGACAUACUGUGGUUUGCAGUAGUGGCAGUCACAUGUUGGCUGACCUGAAUGGCUGUGGAUGGCUGUGUGUUUGAGAUAAUUAAAUAGUAUGCUAGGAAUCUCCUCCACCCAUACAGCACCCUGGAACACACGGUUUCUCAAAGCGGCAACAAAAGCCAUUUUCUUUUGUUUUUUUUAAAAGAAAACUUAUAAUUAUGAAAGUAUGCAUGACUACAAGUUCUUUUUUAAGAACAGGGAAUGUUACAGAUAAAACAAAACUUCUUUCUGCCCACCAUGCCUGCUUCUGAGCCAUUACUAUUUUUAGCUAGAGUGUGGAUGCAGGCAUAAUAUGGUCAGCACAAAACCCCGUACUCAUUCCUGCCCGCUGCAGCUUGAAGUCUGGCUGGGGGGUCUUGUACGACUGUGUUGUUCUGCCAUCGUCUCUGGUCAGUCUCCGACCCUCUCCAAUCCAGUCCCAUAAAAAAUGCUAUAAAGUCACUCUGUUGCAGACUUACAAUUCCUUCCUAGGACACUGUGGCUACCCACUUAACAGCUUGGCAGUCAUCUGGAGUUCCCUGCGGUCGCUUUGUGUCAGAGCUGUGGGUCAGGGGAAGGGAGGGGGCUUGUGAAGGUUUGCACAGGGAACCAACCCCUGAGAUGUGAUUUGGACAGGCUGUUAUGUGGCACCCUUCCCUGGGAUCCAGAACUCAGAGUUGCUGUGAAGGAAUAAUAAUAUAUACCUUGACACAUCGAUUUGACAAUAGAGAGAUUUUGUGUGAAAGCUGUCUGAGACCAUAAAGGGUAGGAGAGCACAUUUAAAGGACAUUACUGUAGCUGGCCUUGAGGGGAGUCUUGUUGAGGCCUAAUCCUUUCAAGGAAUCGCUAGGCUAAGGAAAAUCAUGUAAGGACAGAGGAGCUCCACUUCCCAGACAAAAAUUACAUGUUGGGAUCGCGCACGCUCCUGUCGGCUGUGUGGAAGGGCCGUGUGGUCAGAGCAGGCCCGUGUUCUGGGAGACCAUAGAGAUUGCUGUCUCCCCGAGUCCAGCGCCUUUGAGUGGGAGUUUGUUUUUCAAACCACAUGCAAUUGCAUCAAAUGACUAGUCUCUCAGUAGAAUCCAAGCCUGGGGAUAUCUGUGAUUGUGUUUGGGGCAGGCUUCAGAACCUGGCAGGUUCUUGAAGUCAGAGAAUGUUCCGGCAGUUCUUGCACAGUUGGCAAGAAGGAGAGGAACGUGGUCAUUAGCCCCAUGGGCUAGACAGAAGGUGCAGGCACCCAGUGCUUUUCCAUCCCCUUCUGUGGGGUGUGGGCCUUUUGCACAUUCUCAGUCCUUUUCCUAGUUAAAACACAUUGUCAUCUGUUUCUAUCCAUCCCAGGCAAUCUGCAAUUCCAACCCAAUGUCAAGGACCCUUCAUUGGGUCAUUGGGUCAUUGGGUCAUUGGGUCAUUGGGAAGCCCCUUCUACUUCUCCCUGUAAGGUUUUUGCUUUGUUUUGAUUAUGUACUCGUCUGUCUGUUCAUUUUUUUGUUUGUUUGUUUGUUUUUUUCUUUUUUUCCGGAGCUGGGGACCGAACCCAGGGCCUUGCGCUUGCUAGGCAAGCGCUCUACCGCUGAGCUAAAUCCCCAACCCCUUGUCUGUUCAUUUUUGUUCAGGGCCUUGCACACACUGGUCAUUGAUGGAGUGCUCUAACACAGAGCUGCGUCCUCAGCCCAGGAGAUGCUUUCAGAGCUCCUUUACUGAGGCCAUCUUGGCUGCCACUGGAUCUGUACUUCAAUCCUCACAGCACGAUUAAUUAAGAGCUUGAUAAACUUCAGCCUUUUCAGGCUCCUGUGCUUCCUUAUUUAUUUGGAUUGUUACUAGGACUCUGGGGGUACUUUAGGAGUCUAGAUGCUCCUGGGAUAUGUGUGCAAAAUGUCCCAUCACGUCAGUGUGUGCCUGUUCUUGAGGAAGCACCCAUAGCUCCAGGCAUUUUGGAAGGACUUAAGUUAGUUGACCUAAGUCUUUGAAUCUUUGAGACUAAGAGAAACCUGGCUCCAAUAAAGACAACAUGUGCCCAGAAUUAAUAAAAGGUGUAACAGAACCAAGAGAAUAGAGGAUGGUUGUGGCUUCUUUGUGUUUGCUCUUUUAACAGGCAGAAGCAGACUGUGGUUAGCUAGGUGAAUAAAAGUGACAAAGGGGGUUAGGGUAUAGGUCAGUGGUGUGGGGCUUACCUAGCAUGUACUAGGCUCUGGGAUCAGUCCCUAGCCUUGAGUGUAACUGAGAAAAUAUGACGAAAUAUGGCUAAGCAUGGUGGCACAUGUUUUUUUAUCCCAAGCGCUCAGGAGGCAGAGGAAGAUGAGGAAGAAAGAUGUCUGUGAGUUCAAGGCCAACCUGGUCUACACAGUGAGAUCCUAUCUCACAAAAAUCCUGUAAAUACGGUUUUCAAACACGGGCAUACAUUGUACAGUGACAUUUAGUCAGCUGUGGAUUGGUUGUACUUAAUAAAAUACCGGUCCUAUAAGAUUACAACGGGACUGAAAUUGGAGUGAAAACACACUGUUGUUCAAAAUAAUUUCUUAGAACUAAAAGAGCUGCACAUUGAGUGGGCCCGCAGAGCUCAGCAUGGCCUGAACAAAAUCCAAAGUCCACCUAGGAAGCGCAAGGCCCUGGGUUUGGUCCCCAGCUCCGAAAAAAAGAACCAAAAAAAAAAAAAAAAA